AACGAACGCUGGCGGCAGGCCUAACACAUGCAAGUCGAGCGGGCGUAGCAAUACGUCAGCGGCGGACGGGUGAGUAACACGUGGGAAUAUGCCUUUCGGUUGGAACAACUCGGGGAAACCCGUGCUAAUUCCGGAUACGCCCUUAGGGGAAGAUUAUCGCCGAAAGAUUAGCCCGCGCCCGACUUAGCUAGUUGGUGAGGUAACGGCCCACCAAGGCGACGAUCGGUAGCUGGUUUGAGAGAACGACCAGCCACACUGGGACUGAGACACGGCCCAGACUCCUACGGGAGGCAGCAGUGGGGAAUCUUGGACAAUGGAGGAAACUCUGAUCCAGCCAUG
rnacentral:rRNA from 1 species